rnacentral:sRNA from 1 species
AGGUUUGAAUUUUCACAUAGAAAAAGAUAGGGAACGUCAUUAAAAGCAUUCCUCUUAAAAGCAAUUUGGCGAGAAAAAACUCUAACUUGCGAAGAAUCAUUCUCAGAUAAUGUUUAUUCAAGUUUGUUCAAAUAAUGAUCCCUCGGGUAAGGUGGGCCACAAUAGGUUGGGGGGGGGGGGAAUUUUACAUAGGAAUAUAUAAAGAAAAAAUUCUUUAAAAGUCCUUUUUUUAAAACAAUUGUCUUAAGUGAUAACUUGUCAAAUCGUUUCUUAGUAUUUACAGUCCAUUAUAAAUUAUUUUUAUUAACUUUGCCUACGUUGUUUUUUACAUGGAUUCAAUACCUCCUCGAGAUUAAAUUGUUUGUGUUGCUAUUUUGACGCUUUUCUACUGAAAAAUAUUGAAAAAUUAGCGUUUUUCUCUUUUUAUGCAUGUAGUUAUUAUGAGAAUUGCAAAUAACUGAAAACUAAUUUAGAGAAAUCCAGGCGACGUUUUCUAUACAUGAAGAGAAUUUGAUUUUUUAAAGUGAUUCACGAAUUAUCUAUGUAAAAAAUAUAUGUGUGAUCACUAUACAUAAUACUCACUUUUAUGUUUUUUUAUAAUUUCACAAAAAUAGUUUUUUUUUUCGUAUUUGACAUCAUAAAUACUAUGUCAAUUUUUUAAAACAUGUUAUACCAAUUUGCUGAUAGCAUUAACCUACAAAAUAAACCUAAUUUUUUUCUUAGAUGUAAGGCUUAAAAGAUGACACGAAUUUCUCUUCUUACCGGAAUAUAGCCCACAAAAUCAAAGAAAUGAGAAAAUGAAAACACUUUCUAUACGCCUUAAACGUACACAUUUGUACAAUUAAACAUUGUAACAAUUUAAAAGGUGAUGGUAUUGUAAGUGAUUUGAGCACAUAUCAUUGUUUUGAUUUCAAAAUUACGAGAAAAGGGGUACGCCUUCGUAUACUUCUGGUUUGUACGGGCCUGUUAACAAAUAUAAUUCUAUAACUUUGUUUUUGUAUCAUAAAUUUUCAAGAAAAUUAUAAAUCAAUCUGUUUAAUUAAUUAUUAUAAAAAUAUGAAAUAGUACCUCAAACACCCCCCCCCCCCCACUUUUAUUAAAAACAUAACAUUUUCAUAUCAUUUUAAAAUACAAAAAACUCACAAAUAUAAGCUCAUCUUCCUGCUAAUUAUAUACGUAAUUGUGAUAUAAUGCUUCGAAUCUGCAUUUUCUAUAAUUGAGAUCCGUAAAUGGAGAAUCGAUAUGAAUAACUAUAACAUGUAUCAUUCAAGGAAUAGACAUAAACAAUAACUUUCUUAUAACUCCAAGCAUUUGACUUUAUUAACUUAAAGAGUGAAGCGGGAAAUCUUGAGAUGGUUCAGUUAUAAACGAAUUUGUACAAGACGGCCACUUGAAUCGUCUUAAUUGCGAACAGAAUUGAAUGACGAGAGCGGAAAGCUUAAACAUAAGAAUAUUUGGAGAAAAUAAUGAAAAAUUUACUCUAUAAAUGACUAUAAACGAGCGAAGUGGUCAACUUGCCCCUUGUAGUGUUUCUAGUAUGUGCACUAGUUAAAUAUAAAACUUUUUUUGUGCCAGGGAAACCUUUCUAUACUUCUGUAUUUUGUAUUUUCUAGUCAAUGUUUGCGGCUCUUCAAGUCGCCCUUGAGUUUCGUUUUUGUAGUUGUUUACCAUGUCUACUAGCUGUAGCAUUUUUAUGGCUGGAGGAUCCCUUUUGUUCUAACGUUAUAUUAUUUAGUGUGUAAUUUGUUAUUCUAGUCAUAUGAAAAGUGAUUUGUAAAGAGCAGCUAAAUGUUAUUUUAUUUAACUCAUUUGAUAACACUAUUAUAGUGGUCUAUCUUUGUAUAUAAUAUAAAUAUGUUUUACUUAUACAUCGCAAACUCAUGUAAAAGUAUAUAUUUAAACAUUCUAGUCAAAGUAAAAUAUGCGUGUUGACUUGUUAAAGGAUUUUGAGCAUGUGCAAUAAAACAUAAAAUCAGUAAUAUCAAUUAUAUUCAUUUAUAAAUAUUUUAUGAUUGAAAUGGUUUUGAUUAUAAUGUAUUUUGAUUCAAAGAAAAUAGCCUGUAGUUUCUUGUAUUGUCUCAUAGCAAUUAGGUAAUUUGUUUAUUGAAAUUGUAUUUGUUUUAUUGACAGAAGACACUUGAAUAAACAAUUACGUACCCAU